rnacentral:ncRNA from 1 species
UUGGUUAGAACAUCAACCAAGGCAACGAUGCAAUGUCGCUUGCCUUGAGGUCGGUUACGCCGGCAACGGACCUCGACGCAGCUAAAAAGCUGCACAGCCUCGCCAUGAGGCGUAUGGACAUCACAGUCAAC